GAUUCGGCGUGCCUCGUCUGGGACACGUCCUGCGGCGCGACCGGCGAGUGCAGUCUCUACGACUCGACUAAGUUCAGAACCAUCUUCCAUCUCAUUCCUGCGGUGUUCGUGUUCAUAUGUGUGCUGUGCGACGUCGUGGUGUUCUGUUAUAGCAGGAACUCGGAGCUGCUAGACGAAUGCCGCGAGGACCUGCAGAAGAGGCGGGGCUGCUCCGAGGAAGACCAGCCUCUUCGCUCCGCGGCUUACGACGAGGCCAAAGUCUGAGCGUAACCUCGACAAACGUAGUAUAAUCUGUUUGAUUCAGGCAUAUAUUUAUUUAUCAGAGUAUCUGGUAUCUUUUUAGUAAUAAAGGUGUUACUUGAA